AGUGAACGCUGGCGGUAGGCCUAACACAUGCAAGUCGAACGGCAGCACAGUAAGAGCUUGCUCUUACGGGUGGCGAGUGGCGGACGGGUGAGGAAUACAUCGGAAUCUACUUUUUCGUGGGGGAUAACGUAGGGAAACUUACGCUAAUACCGCAUACGACCUACGGGUGAAAGCAGGGGAUCUUCGGACCUUGCGCGAUUGAAUGAGCCGAUGUCGGAUUAGCUAGUUGGCGGGGUAAAGGCCCACCAAGGCGACGAUCCGUAGCUGGUCUGAGAGGAUGAUCAGCCACACUGGAACUGAGACACGGUCCAGACUCCUACGGGAGGCAGCAGUGGGGAAUAUUGGACAAUGGGCGCAAGCCUGAUCCAACCAUACCGCGUAGGUGAAGAAGGCCUUCGGGUUGUAAAGCCCUUUUGUUGGGAAAGAAAAGCAGCAGGUUAAUACCCCGCUGUUCUGACGGUACCCAAAGAAUAAGCACCGGCUAACUUCGUG
rnacentral:rRNA from 1 species